UUUGCACAANCGGUGGAGCAUGUGGUUUAAUUCGAAGCAACGCGAAGAACCUUACCAAAUCUUGACAUCCCUCUGACAAACUGUGUAAAGCAGUCUUCUUCGGACAGAGGUGNACAGGUGGUGCAUGGUUGUCGUCAGCUCGUGUCGUGAGAUGUUGGGUUAAGUCCCGCAACGAGCGCAACCCUUGUCUUUAGUAGCCAGCAUUUCGGAUGGGCACUCUAGAGAGACUGCCAGGGAUAACCUGGAGGAAGGUGGGGAUGACGUCAAAUCAUCAUGCCCCUUAUGAUUUGGGCUACACACGUGCUACAAUGGCGUAAACAAAGGGACGCGACCCUGUGAAGGCAAGCAAAUCCCAAAAAUAACGUCUCAGUUCGGAUUGUAGUCUGCAACUCGACUACAUGAAGCUGGAAUCGCUAGUAAUCGCGAAUCANAAUGUCGCGGUGAAUACNUUCCCGGGCAA
rnacentral:rRNA from 2 species